GACGAACGCUGGCGGCGUGCUUAACACAUGCAAGUCGAACGGAAAGGCCCCUUUGGGGGUACUCGAGUGGCGAACGGGGGAGGAACACGGGAGUAACCUGCCCUUGACUUCGGGAUAACUUCAGGAAACUGGGGCUAAUACCGGAUAGGAAUCCUUGCUGCAUGGGGGGGGUUGGAAAGCUUCGGCUGUUUUGGAUGGACUCGCGGCUUAUCAGCUUGUUGGUGGGGUAGUGGCUUACCAAGGCUCUGACGGGUAGCCGGCCUGAGAGGGCGACCGGCCAAAUUGGGUCUGAGAUACGGCCCAGACUCCUACGGGAGGCAGCAGUGGGGAAUAUUGCACCAUAGGCGCCGGCCUGAUGCAGCAGCGCCGCGUGCGGUAUGACGGCCUUCGUGUUGUAGACCGCUUUCAGCAGGGGCGAAGCUUGUGGUGACGGUACCUGCAGAAGAAGCACCGGCUAACUACGUG
rnacentral:rRNA from 1 species